CUAAUCUGGUGUUUGGGAAGGAAAAUGGAGGACGGGACACACUUAUCCCGUUAACCAAAUUAUCCGCUUCGAAGGGGAAAAAGCUGACCCACCAAAACACCUGGGUCACUUUUGUCCUGCCCUCUUUCGAAGCUUUUGUGAAUAACCUCUCAGCCUCUCACACAAAGUUGCUUUUGCCGGACCGUUCGUCGACUCUGUUCGAGAUCUCACCGGAUCGUUGGUCGCUUCUUUUCGGUUUGAAACCCUCGGGAAAGAAGAAAUUGUGGAAUUCGUUGGAGUUGGAGGCUUUGAGUUGAGGAAGAUUAUAUACUACUCCAGUCUCCAGUAGUAACUCUAUCUCCAUUGUUGAAGAAGCCCUAGUCAAGGAAUAUUGAAUGGCAAAGAGAAGGGUUUAUGUUGUGUUUAAAGGUAGACAACCAGGGAUAUAUAAUUCUUGGUCUGAAUGUCAUCAACAAGUGCACGGAUUUACAAAUAAUUUAUAUCAAGCCUAUAAUACAAUUGAAGAAGCUGAAAUUGCAUAUGUUGAGUUUGUAGAACAAACAAUGAGGAAUCGUAAUGAAGCAAAUCCAAUACAAAAUACCACCACCGUACAUACACAUGCUCAAUUUCACAACGAGUGAGGUAAUGGUUUUGUAUUAGGUUGUUUAUUUGGCU